AUCUGCUACGGUCCCCGUCUAACUUUGUCUCUAUUUUAGUCUCCAAUAAACGUUAAAUUACCUACUGGCUCGCUGGACCGAAGCAGAGAGGGGUCGUUGUACCUCUACAGUGGUUUAUGGAACAACAGAUCUGGGACCAGGCUAGUUGGCUAUAGGCCUACAGAACAACAGAUCUGGGACCAGGCUAGUUGGCUAUAGGUCUACAGAACAACAGAUCUGGGACCAGGCUAGUUGGCUAUAGGCCUACAGAACAACAGAUCUGGGACCAGGCUAGUUGGCUAUAGGCCUACAAAACAACAGAUCAGGGACCAGGCUAGUUGGCUAUAGGCCUACAAAACAACAGAUCAGGGACCA
rnacentral:lncRNA from 1 species